AGUGCCAAAAAUGAUGAUUCUUCUCUUUACCAUUCAUGAAUGUCCUCAAAGGACGCAGACAUGAAGAGGGAACUUUUUUGAACAUUCCUGCCAUGCAAUGACCAGGUAACCUGGCCCCAUCUCAAGCAGAGACCUGCCUGUAUUCCUGAGACCUUGAUGAUGCUGUGCUAAGCUGUGUGUGUCUGGUACAGAACCUCUGGUGCUCAGAGACUGUGUGCUUAUUUUGCAGCCACUUGGCUACCAUGCAGGAGCUACAGGAGAUGCAUUGGAGAAUUACCAUUAUUUUCAUUUCAUAUUUGGAGAAUCACAAAUUAUUUUCAUUUCAUUUUCCUGUCUGCAGUCACAGGGUAAAAGAGAAGUCACCUUGAAGAUCACCUUUUAAGAAUUCUUUGGCUGUUCCUGACCAGAUGAUGUGUGAGAAGUAAUACUGUUUUCUGUGAAAACAGCUCUGUAAAGAAGAGAGCACAGGGAACAGAAGAGUUGGGAAGAAAAGAGAAGAUACAAGUUCCUGUGCUGAAAGACCUAAUUAUGCUGGACCAAGCACAAAAUCUAUUAUGGGGUUAUUAAUUGCUUGCACCAUUUAUGUACUCACACAUUACACCUGCUCUUUCCUGUGGGAGUCAAACACCAGUAAUGUUUUCCAUCCCGAACUGGAUGUGAUGCCAAACUACCAGGAAUUUGCAAGGAGCAAGACUGAGCUGUGUUAAGCCAAUGACUUAAAAAGAAAAAAGCCACACAGGAAAACCAGAUUAUGAGAUUUGCCACCAUUCGAUUUAAAAGUCAUCCUUUCCUGUUGUUCCUUGAGCACUGGGCUUUCCAAGUUCACCAUUCUUUCCUGGGACAAGUGACUCAUGAACCUGAUAGGAAAAUGCACCUGUUUUUAGCCAGAGGUUAAAGCAGCUCUCCAGUUACCAGAGUAAACAAAGGAUUUAUUUCUGUCCUUAGCAAAGCCCAGGAAUACAGGAAGGGUGGCAGAAGCCACUAGGUUUGAGCCAAGUUUGCUGAAGUCAGUGGAAGGUUUGUGAUGUCCAUAGUAAGAUGCUCCUAGAUGCCAGUGGGAUUUGGCCCAUGUCUUUUGCUAGAGGGGAAAUGGAAAAAUAAAGAGUUGGUGCAGUGAUGGUGCUGGCAGCCAAGGACUCCAGGGAGCUGGAAGGUGUCUGCCACGGUGUGGGAUACACAUUCCCUUCUCUGGCCCCAAGAGUCCAUCUGCAUCUGUAGUCCUGGCAAAAAAGCAGCUGUCAGUCACAGAGGUGGGAUGGGUAUCAACACAUUAGAGACUGAGACUGAUCAGACACUGCAGUAAUGGCAACCAUGCAAGUGGCUAAAAUAUUUGGAAAUCAGUGUUGGAUGUAUUGGCAUCAUGGAAGCUGAAAGGUUUUAUGAGCCAGGAGUCACUUCUUAAUCCCAGCAUGAGAAAUGGGAUGUGUUUGUUCUCCACUAUGGAGAUCAUUGAAAAAUGCAAACACAACAUUAGCUUGUUUCAGGUCAGCACUCAACACAGUAUAAAAACAAGAUGGAUUUUAGCCUUUAUUUAACUGGAUUUAAUUAUAUGCAUGAGCCUCAAAGUGCCUAAGGCCUAACGGAUGGUGACCUAAGGUCUGAUUAAAAAGGCAACAACACCCUAAGCCUUAAGCUUGUUUGUUAGGCCAUAUGCAUGACUGGACCAUGCAAUGUUUCAGGCAGACAUGCUAGGAAUAAAGAACCCAGGGCAUCCAAAGCAUUUGCCAAAUUUCUACCUUUACUCAGAAGAAUCUGAACACUGAUUUUUCCUGCCCUCUGUACCAGCAUGGCUCAGGAGCUUGGCUAGGAUGGAAAGGUGACAGUGUUUCCAACCACACCUUCCUGAAAAGUCUGCAGUGCCCUGGGAGAGCAUGUUGACACUUGGAAAAGAAAUUGGCCACUUGACUUCUCAGUUUGGGAGAUCCGUGUGGCUGGAAAAUUCCAAAUAACCAAAUAUCAGGAAAAGAGGCAAUCACCAAAGGCUCAUCUUAAUUUAUUUUUUAUUUAUUAUUAGCAUGACAGAUAUUGUGACAGUCAUCUAUUUGUAUUUCUGUGAUUGAUUUCAGAAAUUGAUUUCAGAGAAUCCUGUUCUUGGGUCUGGAUAAAGUACAAAAUCUCUCUUUUUCCUUUGGAUAGCACAACACAGCUUUGUGUCAUCUCUGUAAAGGACACCAGCCCUUAGCAGCCUCCAGGAAUCACCUCAGUGGGCUGACUGAUGUCCACCUGCUUGGUCUCUGAACACAGCUCAGAAAUGUCACAUCCACAUCCUCCUUGCUGCUGAGUGCCACCAAGACACAGCGUGGCAAGGACACCUGAUGGGUUGUGCUGGCUCUGUGCCGAGCAGGGUGAGAUUUGCUGCCUGUUGUGUGCAGCACUGCACCCAUCUAUGGCUGGGGCAUGGUCCUGGGGUGCCUCCAGUGCCUGACCAUUGUCUGGCAAGGAGACCCAGCCCAAGGUCCAUUGAUGUUGUUUGCUGGGCUGAGAUUCCAGCUGGUGGUUUUGCUGAAGGGUCUGCCCUCAGUGCCUCAGCCAUGGGAUCAGAGAAGGAGCAGCACAAACACAAGGACUGGGGCAGGACAUCCUGAUCAAGUCACAGUGGCCUCAGCCUGGUCCUGUUGAAGGUGUCAUGAAACUGCCCUAUAAGUCUGAUCCUCAUUAAAGAGUAAUUCAGCAUUCCAGAGUGAGCAGCUAAACAACAAAUUUAAUUUGAUUUUCUACUGUGUCCUCUCUCUCAUGUGCUCUUAUUCAUUCAUGGACCCCAUUAACUCUCUGUCAGCCUCCUGCUUCUGCUGUGGGUAAAAGUGUCCCGUCAUUCCAUUUUAUGCUUUUAGUGAGUUGCUUUUCAUUUUCUUGUACUUUAUUGUUGUUUCACAUCCACUUUGUCAAACUGUGUUCUUUUGCAUCUUCCUUAACUCCCUGUCUUAAAGAGAAAUUAUUUUUAUAUCUCAGAAGUGUCACAUGGUUUAAUCAUGUUGGUUUAUUUUUUCUUUCUGCUUUGAAUAUUUUUUAUUUGAUGAGGAGUCU